AGCCACCCGCGCGCGCGCGCGCGCACAAACUUCAGUCACAACUUUGGUUGGCUUUCCGGCCCCGUCCUGAGGCAGCCUGUUCCAGCCCACGGAUCUUGGUUUCCUGACUAAGGAUUGAACCUCUGCCCUCUGAAGUAGAAUUCCAGAGUCUUCUGGACUUCUGGAAGUCCACUGAACUGCCACGGAAGUCCCAAUAAAGUGUGUAUGGUGGUGAUGGACAUCAUGGAAACAGUCAGUGAACCAGCAAAAGGUCACAAAACCAUCAGGUAAAGGAUGGCCUCCAGGUGCCCAGAAGAAAGGAGCCAACUUAUCUCUGAAGACAAGGGACCUGGAAGAAUUCUAACAAAUAAGUCUCACUCUGUUACCCCCAGUUCACUACACUCUCCUCAUACUUCCUAACCUAUCUUAUUCCUCUGCAACUGUCCUCUUUCUAUAAAAUCAGUAUAAAAAUAUACAGGUUUAAUUUUGAAUCUUCAUUUCCUUUUGAAAGCUCCCUUGCCACAUAAAACUUAUAUUAAAUAAAUCUGUAUGCUUUUCUCUUGCUCAUCCUAUCUUUUUUCAGUUUAA